rnacentral:lncRNA from 1 species
AAUAGGGGAGGGAGUUUUUUAAUUGAUAUGCAUUUUUUAAAAUACAAAAAAAUACACAUUCAUAAUUCACAAAAUCAAAUUCUCUCACUCACAUGUUUUUUCUCUCUCCUCUCUCUCUCUACUCUCCCCCUCUUUCUCUAAACCAGACUGACGCCAACAACCCUGGCAAGCAAACUUCCCGUCGGCGACCACCAUCUCUCCCUAUCCAUUGUUGUUUCACCAGAGCUAAUGACUGGUGAUGCUUCGAACGAGUUUCAGCCACUGCGGGAACGCUCCGAUGAAACCACCGACGAGCCGCACCUCUUCUCCGCUACCACUAUCUGGUGAUCCUUUGUCAAAAGUCACCAACCGUCAUUGAUCACUCUCUCUCUUCUUUUUCCCCUCUUUCCUCCUCUUCACUGCCGCUGACUCGCCGAAAGUGAUGACUAACAAGCUUCAACGCACUACUACUGCUACUACUCGCCGGUAAAAGGGUGGAUCUGGCGGUGUUCAUGUCUCUCCGAGACUCCAUUUUUUCGGUGGAAUUUUAUCAUUUUUGCUACUGGCUGCAAUUCGUAUAUAUGUGUGUGUAUAUUUUUGCUGUCUUUUGUUGGUUCUUAUCUUUUUAUUUCUAUCAGAAUUUCGAAUCCAGUGGAUUUUGCGAUGUUAGAUCUUUGUUGUCAUGUUUGGUUACUAAUUACGUUGUUUUAGUGUUUCAUUAAUUGUUUGUAGUUUUGGUGAUAUACCGUGGUUGUCAUAAUUUAAGCUAAUUUUGAACUAUUAAUUUUGACAUUUCUUCCCUCACUAUCUUUGGGGCAUUAUUAUAUUAUAGUUAUCCAAUAAUAUAUCGGAAACAACCUCUCUACUUCUUUGGAGGUAGCAGUAUGGACUACGUACAUUUUACCCUUUCCAGACUCCACUUAUAUUUAUCCAAUAAUCUAUCGGAAACAACCUCUCUACUUCUUUGGAGGUAGCAGUAUGGACUACGUACAUUUUACCCUUUCCAGACUCCAUUUUGUAGGAAUACACUGGAUUUGUUGUUGUUGUCCAAUGAAGAAAAUUCUGUUGAUUUUGGAGGCCCCAUAAAUUAAAAGACGGAUAUUAGGUAUAUAAAUACGUAACAAAAGAAAUAAUUCGAGCGAUGACGAAAUCUUUAUAAUAUCUAAAACUAAAUUCGAGCCUGCUCUUUAACGAAAAAAUUAAUUCUUUUAUAUACAUUUAUGUACAUAUAUGCACACAUAAUUUUUAAUUUAUUUUGAUAAUCAUUUAUUUAUUGCUAACAUUUCUAUCGCUAGUGUGUAAUGCCCCGAAUCUGUACCCCAAACGCUACACGAUGCUCAUAAUCCCAAAGCACCACAAGUUAAUCCAUGAUUGGUGUCUACUGCAAUAGCUGAAUAAUAAUACUGUAAAUAUGCAAUAAUUAGGCAAAAACUUGCCAUAAGGUUCAAUAUUGAAAUAAAA